AGAUAGUGUUGAGGGAAAUUCCUUUUCACUCCCUUGUAUCUCUCCCAAGAUUCAUAUAAGGACUCACCAUCAUUCUGUUGGAAGUUUUCUCUCCACUUCCUGAGUUU